AUUGACACUUAUCUGAUCCACACUCACAGUAUACUUAUACUUUGUGGCAUUUUUGGUCACUUCUAGUAAGAUACAAGGAAAAUGGAUAAAAGAUGGAGUCUUCAAGGUAUGACAGCUCUUGUAAGUUGUAACCGGUGCAGCUAGCGGAAUCGGGUAUGCCAUAGUGGAGGAAUUAGCUGGUUUUGGAGCUAGAAUCCAUGUAUGUGACAUAUCUGAAGCUAAGCUCAAUCAAAGUUUAAGCGAAUGGGAAAAGAAAGGGUUUCAAGUGAGUGGUUCAAUAUGUGAUGUAACAUCUCGUCCUGAGAGAGAAAAGCUGAUGCAAACCAUCUCCUCGCAGUUUGAUGGCAAACUCAACAUUCUUGU